AUCUGUGCUCAGAAUAACGCUGGAGGAUGAUGGUGUGUCCCAGCUCAUCAGUGGAGGCCAGGGAGUGGACAUCAUCAUACAAAAACUAAUGGUCCGGGAAUGUGGCAAAUAUGACGGCCCUUGGUCUGGUGAAGCCAUGUCAUGGGGCAACCAGCAGGACUCCUAACAGGCUUUUGAAAUACUGAACAAGAGGUUAGAGACUUCCCCAUCUGACAAUUUGCUCAGACUGGGAACUCAGCUUCUACCACUGGUCUAGUUCUCCAUGCCCCAGUGUGCUCAAGAAUGCAACCUGGACCUGCAUGUGGCUAAAGAAGCCCAACAUAGGAAAUGCUGCCCAGAGUGUGUCCACUGCUAUAGAUUUACAACGGCACAGACAAAGCGCAGAGAAGCCCUGUGAUAUAAGCUGAUUCUCAACAUGGAAUUUCCCAAACUUAUCACACAGCAAUUUUUUGCACAAACCCUAUUAUGUUUCAUAGGACUUUCUCUGAAACACUUAGGGAACCACUCAACUGAGUCUGUCCCCUAAUUUGCAAACUAUUCAAAGGCUGAAAGACAAGUGCCCUGACCAAGGUCACAGAUGGUGACAUCACAGACGCAGCAGAUUUCCUGUCCCCAGCUGGCUGCUCCUGCUCCCAACCAUGCUGCUCUGACACACGAACAAGUCAGUAGGCAGCCCUGCAAUACCACACACCGUCAUGGAGAGGAGGAACGUUCCACCUCACCAGUCUGGUCCCUUUGGUGGCUCUCAGGCCCUUCAUCCCCAAUAAGCUUGAGGAUGAGCAGCUUAAUUAUUGUAGGUUCGGUGGGACCCAUGGGUGGGGAUGUAUGUAACGCAGCUGGGCCAGUCAUGCUGUUCUAGCUCCUUAACGGUAGCACAGGGUCCAGGAGUACAUGUACAACCUGCUGGUCUAACAUGACUCCAGACCAGGAAUUAUUAGAAUUACUAAUAAUUCUAAUUAGAGAGAAUAAAAAAAAGGUUUUGCAUGGAGAUGAUGCUAAAUUAGGAGGCACUGAGCUAGAGCAAACUUCAGAGUCUAGAGAAAACUUUUGAGAGUCCCUUGGACUGCAAGAUCAAACCAGCCAAUCCUAAAGGAAAUCAGUCCUC